GUGCCAGCAGCCGCGGUAAUACGAAGGGAGCUAGCGUUGUUCGGAAUCACUGGGCGUAAAGCGCACGUAGGCGGAUGUGUCAGUCAGGGGUGAAAUCCCGGAGCUCAACUUCGGAACUGCCCUUGAUACAGCACGUCUUGAGUCCGAGAGAGGUGGAUGGAAUUCCUAGUGUAGAGGUGAAAUUCGUAGAUAUUAGGAAGAACACCGGUGGCGAAGGCGGUCCACUGGCUCGGUACUGACGCUGAGGUGCGAAAGCGUGGGGAGCAAACAGGAUUAGAAACCCUUGUAGUCC
rnacentral:rRNA from 1 species